rnacentral:rRNA from 1 species
UACGCAGGGGGCUAGCGUUGUUCGGAAUUACUGGGCGUAAAGCGCGCGCAGGCGGUCUUCCAAGUCAGUGGUGAAAGCCCGGAGCUCAACUCCGGAACUGCCAUUGAAACUGUGAGACUUGAGGAUGAGAGAGGUGAGUGGAAUUCCCAGUGUAGAGGUGAAAUUCGUAGAUAUUGGGAAGAACACCGGUGGCGAAGGCGGCUCACUGGCUCAUUACUGACGCUCAGGCGCGACAGCGUGGGGAUCAAACAGG